ACGCCGAGCACCGAGACGAGUCCUAUGAGGACGAAGUGACUGACACCACGCUUCCAGGAAAAGCCACUAAGCUUCAGCUUAAGAAAAACCGUACCGCAAACCGACACAGGUAGGCAGGGUGAGAAUCCCAAGGCGCUUGAGAGAACUCGGGUGAAGGAACUAGGCAAAAUGGCACCGUAACUUCGGGAGAAGGUGCGCCCUUUGGUGUGGUCACGUGCGUGACUGAGCAUCGAAGGGUCGCAGUAACCUGGCCGCUGCGACUGUUUAUCAAAAACACAGCACUCUGCAAACACGAAAGUGGACGUAUAGGGUGUGACGCCUGCCCGGUGCUGGAAGGUUAAUUGAUGGGGUCAGCCGCAAGGCGAAGCUCUUGAUCGAAGCCCCAGUAAACGGCGGCCGUAACAAUAACGGUCCUAAGGUAGCGAAAUUCCUUGUCGGGUAAGUUCCGACCUGCACGAAUGGCGUAACGACAGCGGCGCUGUCUCCACCCGAGACUCAGUGAAAUUGAAAUCGCUGUGAAGAUGCAGCGUUCCCGCGGCAAGACGGAAAGACCCCGUGAACCUUUACUAUAGCUUUACACUGAACGUUGAGUUCUUCUGUGUAGGAUAGGUGGGAGGCUAUGAAACCAGGACGCUAGUUCUGGUGGAGCCAUCCUUGAAAUACCACCCUGAAGUGCUUGACGUUCUAACCUAGGCCCGUAAUCCGGGUCAGGGACCGUGUAUGGUGGGUAGUUUGACUGGGGCGGUCUCCUCCCAAAGAGUAACAGAGGAGCACGAAGGUACGCUCAGCGCGGUCGGACAUCGCGCACUGUGUGCAAAGGCAUAAGCGUGCUUGACUGCGAGAUCGACGGAUCAAGCAGGUACGAAAGUAGGUCUUAGUGAUCCGGUGGUUCUGUAUGGAAGGGCCAUCGCUCAACGGAUAAAAGGUACUCCGGGGAUAACAGGCUGAUACCGCCCAAGAGUUCAUAUCGACGGCGGUGUUUGGCACCUCGAUGUCGGCUCAUCACAUCCUGGGGCUGUAGCCGGUCCCAAGGGUAUGGCUGUUCGCCAUUUAAAGUGGUACGCGAGCUGGGUUCAGAACGUCGUGAGACAGUUCGGUCCCUAUCUGUCGUGGGCGUUGGAGAUUUGAGGGGGGCUGCUCCUAGUACGAGAGGACCGGAGUGGACGUUCCGCUGGUGUUCGGGUUGUCAUGCCCAUGGCAUUGCCCGGUAGCUACGAACGGAAGUGAUAACCGCUGAAAGCAUCUAAGCGGGAAGCACGCCCCAAGAUGAGAUCUCCCGAGAGCUUGACUCUCCUAAAGGCACCAUCAAGACUAGGUGGUUGAUAGGUCAGGUGUGGAAGCGCAGCAAUGCGUUGAGCUAACUGAUACUAAUGAGCCGUGAGGCUUGACC
rnacentral:rRNA from 1 species